AUACGGCUCAGUAACACGUAGUCAACAUGCCCAGGGGACGUGGAUAACCUCGGGAAACUGAGGAUAAACCGCGAUAGGUCAUCACUUCUGGAAUGGGUAAUGACUUAAACCUAUAUGGCCCCUGGAUUGGACUGCGGCCGAUCAGGCUGUUGGUGAGGUAAUGGCCCACCAAACCUGUAACCGGUACGGGCUCUGAGAGGAGGAGCCCGGAGAUGGGCACUGAGACAAGGGCCCAGGCCCUAUGGGGCGCAGCAGGCGCGAAACCCCUGCAAUAGGCGAAAGCUUGACAGGGUUACUCUGAGUGAUUUCCGUUAAGGAGGUCUUUUGGCACCUCUAAAAAUGGUGCAGAAUAAGGGGUGGGCAAGUCUGGUGUCAGCCGCCGCGGUAAUACCAGCACCCCGAGUGGUCGGGACGUUUAUUGGGCCUAAAGCAUCCGUAGCCGGUUCUACAAGUCUUCCGUUAAAUCCACCUGCUUAACAGAUGGGCUGCGGAAGAUACUAUAGAGCUAGGAGGCGGGAGAGGCAAGCGGUACUCGAUGGGUAGGGGUAAAAUCCGUUGAUCCAUUGAAGACCACCAGUGGCGAAGGCGGCUUGCCAGAACGCGCUCGACGGUGAGGGAUGAAAGCUGGGGGAGCAAACCGGAUUAGAUACCCGGGUAGUCCCAGCUGUAAAC
rnacentral:rRNA from 1 species